AUUGAACGCUGGCGGCAGGCCUAACACAUGCAAGUCGAACGAGUGGCGGACGGUGGAGUAACACGUGGGAACCUACCCAUCAGAGGGGGAUAACCCUUGGAAACAGGUGCUAAUACCGCCUACUGGUGGAUGGACCCGGGGGGCAUUAGCUAGUGGGUGAGGUAACGGCUCACCAAGGCCACGAUCCCUAGCUGGUCUGAGAGGAUGACCAGCCACACUGGAACUGAGACACGGUCCAGACUCCUACGGGAGGCAGCAGUGGGGAAUAUUGCACAAUGGGCGCAAGCCUGAUGCAGCCAUGCCGCGUGUAUGAAGAAGGCCUUCGGGUUGUAAAGUACUUUCAGCGGGGAGGCGUUACCCGCAGAAGAAGCACCGGCUAACUCCGUGCCAGCAGCCGCGGUAAUAC
rnacentral:rRNA from 1 species